rnacentral:lncRNA from 1 species
GAGGGCGUUAUGACCGCAAGAUUUGAUUCCAUGAAAGCUGGUGCAAUGGAAGAAAGGAUUGGAAGGUUGGAAUUUGGAAAUAAAUAUGUGAUACCAAUGGCUUCCUUCACUCCAGAAGCAAACUUGUGUGUUGAUGCUGCCGGACCGCCUUGACAAAGUGGUGAUAAGAUCAUAAGAUAUAGGGAUAUGCUUUUGAAAUCUGAAGGUUGUAUUGUCUUUUUCUUAGUGCUUGGAGAUUAAGGCUAAGACCCUACCCGACUUGGGCCUAGAAUAUUAAAGCUUAAGAAAUAUUUAUCUAUAAUUUGAAUUGUACAUAUUUUAUAUUACAUCUCUGAAAGAAAAUUUAAUGAUUAAAAAUUAUAAUAAAUUGACCAUAUUAAAAAAAAAGUAUUGAAAAUGAUCUCUACUAUAAAAAAUAUUUAGAAGCUGGAGUGCACGUGCUUUUGAUGGUCUUUAAUUUAAAGAAUAGGUAGAUGCAAAAAUGAACGGUUUUUGUAGCAUUCUAUUAUCUUUUAUUAUCAUCUAAUAAUCAAAAUCUAGUAAAUUUUAAUUUAUUCAUGUAUUUUAGUGCAUUACUACGGUUGAUACCAUUUAUUUUUGUAUCCACUUGCAAAUUAAAGAUAAUACAUGAAU